AGGACGAACGCUGGCGGCGUGCUUAACACAUGCAAGUCGAGCGGAAAGGCCCUUCGGGGUACUCGAGCGGCGAACGGGUGAGUAACACGUGAGCAAUCUGCCCUUAGCUUCGGGAUAGCUCCGGGAAACCGGAAUUAAUACCGAAUAUGACUUCGGCCGACAUCGGCCUUGGUGGAAAGUUUUUCGGCUAGGGAUGAACUCGCGGCCUAUCAGCUUGUUGGUGGGGUAAUGGCCUACCAAGGCGACGACGGGUAGCCGGCCUGAGAGGGCGACCGGCCACGACUGGGACUGAGACACGGCCCAGACUCCUACGGGAGGCAGCAGUGGGAAUAUUGCGCAAUGGGCGAAAGCCUGACGCAGCGACGCCGCGUGGGGGAUGAAGGCCUUCGGGUUGUAAACCCUUUCAGCGAGGACGAAGCGAAAGUGACGGUACCUGCAGAAGAAGCGCCGGCUAACGUACGCGCCAGCAGCCGC
rnacentral:rRNA from 1 species